UAGGGAAUCUUCGGCAAUGGGGGCAACCCUGACCGAGCAACGCCGCGUGAGUGAAGAAGGUUUUCGGAUCGUAAAGCUCUGUUGUAAGAGAAGAACGUGUGUGAGAGUGGAAAGUUCACACCGUGACGGUAACUUACCAGCUAGGGACGGCUAACUACGUGCCAGCAGCCGCGGUAAUACGUAGGUCCCGAGCGUUGUCCGGAUUUAUUGGGCGUAAAGCGAGCGCAGGCGGUGUAAUAAGUCUGAAGUUAAAGGCGGUGGCUUAACCAUUGUUCGCUUUGGAAACUGUUAAGCUUGAGUGCAGAAGGGGAGAGUGGAAUUCCAUGUGGAGCGGUGAAAUGCGUAGAUAUAUGGAGGAACACCGGUGGCGAAAGCGGCUCUCUGGUCUGUAACUGACGCUGAGGCUCGAAAGCGUGGGGAGCAAACAGG
rnacentral:rRNA from 1 species